rnacentral:tRNA from 1 species
UCUCUCGUCGUCUAGUUGGUUUAUGACACGGUGCUUAUAGAGGUCCAUCAGCCCCUGUGACGGCCCGCUUUGCUGCGGAUAGAAACGCCGUUGUCCGGGGUUCGAGUCCCCGCGGGAGAA